rnacentral:rRNA from 1 species
UUAAAUGGCUGCAGUAUAAUUAACUGUACAAAGGUAGCAUAAUCAAUUGGUUUUUAAAUGAAAUCUGGAAUGAAAGGAUUAAUGAAAUAUAUACUGUCUCAUAUUUAUUUUAUGAAUUUAAAAUUUUAAUAAAAAUGUUAAAAUUUUUUUAUGGGACGAUAAGACCCUAUAGAAUUUUAUAUUAAAUUAAUUUUAUAAUUAAAUAUAAAAUUUAAUUUAAUAUUUAAUUGGGAGAAUUAUUAAAUUUAAUAAAUUUUAAUUAAUAUAAACUUUAAUUAAAGAAAAUUUAUUGAUUUUUAAUUUAAAAUUAAUAGAUUAAAUUACCUUAGGGAUAACAGCGUAAUAUUUUUUUAUAGAUCAUAUAGAAAAAAAUGAUUGCGACCUCGAUGUUGAAUUAAGAUAAAUUUUAAAUGUAGAAG